rnacentral:tRNA from 3 species
GGGCCUAUAGCUCAGUUGGUUAGAGCAGUGGACUCAUAAUCCAUUGGUCGUAGGUUCAAGUCCUACUGGGCCCACCA